UUUUGUUUUGUAUUUUAGUAACAAUCCUAUUGUUUGGAAUUAGACUAAUAAAAUUCUUAUUCUUAUAAAAACUUACAAAAUCAAAGGUUAUCAAGACGACUGGUUCCACAUGUGGAGAAGGAUCGGAUCGUUCCCUUCCGAAGCACCUGAUAUUACCCCUAUUUUUUAGUAGGGUCUGUGUUGCUUUGUCUUUAUUUUUCUAUGUUGUGUUUUGUGUAAUAUUGUUUGUCCAUUUCUUUUUUAGCCAUGGCUUUGUAAGUUUAAUUUUUAUCUUUGAGUUUGAACGUUUCUGUGUUAUCUUUCAGUCCUCUGUUUUUCAAUCCACGGAACGAGGGAGUGUAAUACAUAUAGAAUUAUAUUGAAUUUUGAAAGAGAUCCAAGAUCAUGAUUAAGAUUUCAAUGCAAU
rnacentral:lncRNA from 1 species